rnacentral:rRNA from 1 species
AUUGAACGCUGGCGGCAGGCCUAACACAUGCAAGUCGAACGGUAGCACAGAGAGCUUGCUCUCGGGUGACGAGUGGCGGACGGGUGAGUAAUGUCUGGGAAACUGCCCGAUGGAGGGGGAUAACUACUGGAAACGGUAGCUAAUACCGCAUAACGUCGCAAGACCAAAGUGGGGGACCUUCGGGCCUCACACCAUCGGAUGUGCCCAGAUGGGAUUAGCUAGUAGGUGGGGUAAUGGCUCACCUAGGCGACGAUCCCUAGCUGGUCUGAGAGGAUGAGCAGCCACACGGGAACUGAGACACGGUCCAGACUCCUACGGGGGGCAGCAGUGGGGAAUAUUGCACAAUGGGCGCAAGCCUGAUGCAGCCAUGCCGCGUGUAUGAAGAAGGCCUUCGGGUUGUAAAGUACUUUCAGCGGGGAGGAAGGCGGUGGAGGUAAUAACUUCACCGAUUGACGUUACCCGCAGAAGAAGCACCGGCUAACUCCGUGCCAGCCGCCGCGGUAA